rnacentral:rRNA from 1 species
CCGCGUGAGUGAUGAAGGUUUUCGGAUCGUAAAACUCUGUUAUUAGGGAAGAACAAAUGUGUAAGUAACUGUGCACAUCUUGACGGUACCUAAUCAGAAAGCCACGGCUAACUACGUGCCAGCAGCCGCGGUAAUACGUAGGUGGCAAGCGUUAUCCGGAAUUAUUGGGCGUAAAGCGCGCGUAGGCGGUUUCUUAAGUCUGAUGUGAAAGCCCACGGCUCAACCGUGGAGGGUCAUUGGAAACUGGGAAACUUGAGUACAGAAGAGGAAAGUGGAAUUCCAUGUGUAGCGGUGAAAUGCGCAGAGAUAUGGAGGAACACCAGUGGCGAAGGCGACUUUCUGGUCUGUAACUGACGCUGAUGUGCGAAAGCGUGGGGAUCAAACAGGAUUAGAUACCCUGGUAGUCCACGCCGUAAACGAUGAGUGCUAAGUGUUAGGGGGUUUCCGCCCCUUAGUGCUGCAGCUAACGCAUUAAGCACUCCGCCUGGGGAGUACGACCGCAAGGUUGAAACUCAAGGGAAUUGACGGGGACCCGCACAAGCGGUGGAGCAUGUGGUUUAAUUCGAAGCAACGCGAAGAACCUUACCAAUCUUGACAUCCUUUGAAAACUCUAGA